rnacentral:rRNA from 1 species
UACGUAGGGGGCAAGCGUUGUCCGGAUUUAUUGGGCGUAAAGCGCGUGUAGGCGGCCACGCAGGUCCGCUGUGAAAACUCGAGGCUCAACCUCGAGCUGUCGGUGGAAACCGCGUGGCUAGAGUCCGGAAGAGGGGACUGGAAUUCCCGGUGUAGCGGUGGAAUGCGCAGAUAUCAGGAGGAACACCGGUGGCGAAGGCGGGUCUCUGGGCCGAUGACUGACGCUGGAGGAGCGAAAGCGUGGGGAGCGAACAGG